rnacentral:snRNA from 1 species
AUACUUACCUGGUGCCGGACCUCGUUGAUCACCGAGGGCGAGCUUCCAGGCCGGGCAUUGCACUGCGCUCGUGUUGACUCUUGCCCCUACCCCAAACUGGAGCAGAUGGGGCAUGUAAUUGGGC